rnacentral:rRNA from 1 species
AUUGAACGCUGGCGGCAGGCCUAACACAUGCAAGUCGAACGAGUGGCGGACGGGUGAGUAAUGUCUGGGAACCUGACUGAUGGAGGGGGAUAACUACUGGAAACGGUAGCUAAUAACGCAUACCCUCCGAUUUGCCCAGAUGGGAUUAGCUUGUUGGUGGGGUAACGGGUCACCAAGGCGCCGCUCCCUAGCUGGUCUGAGAGGAUGACCAGCCACACUGGAACUGAGACACGGUCCAGACUCCUACGCGAGGCAGCAGUGGGGAAUAUUGCACAAUGGGCGCAAGCCUGAUGCAGCCAUGCCGCGUGUAUGAAGAAGGCCUUCGGGUUGUAAAGUACUUUCAGCGGGGAGGCGUUACCCGCAGAAGAAGCACCGGCUAACUCCGUGCCAGCAGCCGCGGUAAUAC